rnacentral:rRNA from 1 species
UGAACGCUGGCGGCGUGCCUAAUACAUGCAAGUCGAGCGAACAGACGAGGAGCUUGCUCCUCUGACGUUAGCGGCGGACGGGUGAGUAACACGUGGAUAACCUACCUAUAAGACUGGGAUAACUUCGGGAAACCGGAGCUAAUACCGGAUAAUAUAUUGAACCGCAUGGUUCAAUAGUGAAAGACGGUUUUGCUGUCACUUAUAGAUGGAUCCGCGCCGCAUUAGCUAGUUGGUAAGGUAACGGCUUACCAAGGCAACGAUGCGUAGCCGACCUGAGAGGGUGAUCGGCCACACUGGAACUGUGACACGGUCCAGACUCCUACGGGAGGCAGCAGUAGGGAAUCUUCCGCAAUGGGCGAAAGCUUGACGGAGCAACGCCGCGUGAGUGAUGAAGGUCUUCGGAUCGUAAAACUCUGUUAUUAGGGAAGAACAAAUGUGUAAGUAACUAUGCACGUCUUGACGGUACCUAAUCAGAAAGCCACGGCUAACUACGUG